rnacentral:rRNA from 1 species
GGGUUGUGAGGUUAAGCGACUAAGCGUACACGGUGGAUGCCCUGGCAGUCAGAGGCGAUGAAGGGCGUGCUAAUCUGCGAUAAGCGCCGGUAAGGUGAUAUGAACCGUUAUAACCGGCGAUACCCGAAUGGGGAAACCCAGUGUGAUUCGUCACACUAUCAUUAACUGAAUCCAUAGGUUAAUGAGGCGAACCGGGGGAACUGAAACAUCUAAGUACCCCGAGGAAAAGAAAUCAACCGAGAUUCCCCCAGUAGCGGCGAGCGAACGGGGAGGAGCCCAGAGCCUGAAUCAGCAUGUGUGUUAGUGGAAGCGUCUGGAAAGGCGCGCGAUACAGGGUGACAGCCCCGUACACAAAAGCGCAUGUGCUGUGAGCUCGAUGAGUAGGGCGGGACACGUGGUAUCCUGUCUGAAUAUGGGGGGACCAUCCUCCAAGGCUAAAUACUCCUGACUGACCGAUAGUGAACCAGUACCGUGAGGGAAAGGCGAAAAGAACCCCGGCGAGGGGAGUGAAAAAGAACCUGAAACCGUGUACGUACAAGCAGUGGGAGCACAGGUUUACCUGUGUGACUGCGUACCUUUUGUAUAAUGGGUCAGCGACUUAUAUUCUGUAGCAAGGUUAACCGUAUAGGGGAGCCGGAGGGAAACCGAGUCUUAAUUGGGCGUUAAGUUGCAGGGUAUAGACCCGAAACCCGGUGAUCUAGCCAUGGGCAGGUUGAAGGUUGGGUAACACUAACUGGAGGACCGAACCGACUAAUGUUGAAAAAUUAGCGGAUGACCUGUGGCUGGGGGUGAAAGGCCAAUCAAACCGGGAGAUAGCUGGUUCUCCCCGAAAGCUAUUUAGGUAGCGCCUCGUGAAUUCAUCUCCGGGGGUAGAGCACUGUUUCGGCUAGGGGGCCAUCCCGGCUUACCAACCCGAUGCAAACUGCGAAUACCGGAGAAUGUUAUCACGGGAGACACACGGCGGGUGCUAACGUCCGUCGUGAAGAGGGAAACAACCCAGACCGCCAGCUAAGGUCCCAAAGUCAUGGUUAAGUGGGAAACGAUGUGGGAAGGCCCAGACAGCCAGGAUGUUGGCUUAGAAGCAGCCAUCAUUUAAAGAAAGCGUAAUAGCUCACUGGUCGAGUCGGCCUGCGCGGAAGAUGUAACGGGGCUAAACCAUGCACCGAAGCUGCGGCAGCGACGCUUAUGCGUUGUUGGGUAGGGGAGCGUUCUGUAAGCCUGUGAAGGUGUGUCGUGAGGC